UACGUAGGGUGCAAGCGUUAUCCGGAAUCAUUGGGCGUAAAGCGUUCGUAGGUGGUUUAGAAAGUUCGUGGUUAAAUCCGGUCGCUCAACGAUCGAAUCGCUGCGAAAACUCCUAAACUGGAGAGUGGCAGAGGCAACUGGAAUUUCGCAUGUAGGGGUAAAAUCCGUUGAUAUGCGAAGGAACACCAAAAGCGAAGGCAGGUUGCUGGGCCAUUGCUGACACUGAGGAACGAAAGAGUGGGGAGCAAACAGG
rnacentral:rRNA from 1 species